GCCGAAAUGGCGGAACUGGUAGACGCGACGGACUCAAAAUCCGUUUCUGGCGACAGAGUGUCGGUUCGAUUCCGACUUUCGGCA
rnacentral:tRNA from 1 species